UUAUUCACCAAAAUCAUACACUCAACCUUAUUUAAGGGGAAAAAAUGAAAAAAUCGUGAAGAUUUAUAAAUUAAAUCAUAUUUUCCUGGAAAAUCCAUAUGAGGUGAGAUCAACUUGUUCAUUUUUGAACAAGUAUCGAGGGUCUCCCUCAGCCUUCAUCAUCUUCUACAAUUACAACUUGGAUAUAUAUCGAUUGUAUUAAUAUCGAUGAGUACUCGAUUCAUGUUAGAGGAGACGCAUGUUUCUAUGAUCUAAGACAAAGGAUUUUAUGAUAUCUCCUACGUUAUUCCAGUACUGACAAUUUGUUCCUUUAAAUCUAGCAAACAGAAGUGCUACAAUAUAACAGAGGCAAAAGGCUUGAUUUCAACUUUUCUUUUGCCCAUAUUGAUCUCUUGACUUUCUUUGAAAAUUGUAGUUGAUCCUGCAGGGUAUAUAUAGGCUUUAGCAUGCAGGCCAACUAGCGUUAAGCUUGAAAUUUAAGUCUGGCAUCAGACAUGUGGCUGCAUGUGCCAUCAUUAGUUAUUUUGCUGAAGGUUCUCCACCUCACAUUUCUCUUUACCCCAGUGGGAAGCAAAAGACGUAUUCCUUACUUGAGUUUAGGGGUUAAAUUUUUAUAAAAUUUAGGAGCUAAAUAAUUGUAAUUUUAUAGAAUUCAGCGCUAAAAAUUCUUAACAAUUUAAAAAGUUAGAAUAUCCAUUAACAUUUUGUGUAAAGUUUAGGGAUCAAAUUGUGUAUUUGGCUUAUAUUGGAUAGUUAAAAUACAUGAGUUUUUUACUGUGGCUAAAUGGGUGUGAAAGGGGGCCAUAGCUGUGGAAGAUAGACCAUCUAUGGCUUGUGCCAAAUUAAAUCCUUCCAAGGGGCUAAAGAAGGAGCUGUUUGGGUUGACCUGAUUAUGCUGUGAAAGAAAGCAGUUAACACUUAUUCAACACAAAAACAAUUAUUAAUUAGAUGUUUACAUGAAAUUUUUGUUAUAGAUAAUGGAACUUAUUCAUUCCUAAGUGUGAAAGCAAAGUUGGGGUGGAGUAGAAAGUGGACUCUGUGUCAUGUGACUCAACCAACAAUCCUUUUCGUUCUUACGUAUAAAAGGACCUAAUGAAAAUAUAUAAUGCAUGACCAUAUCAGAAAUCCUCAAAAGAACCUCUCUCUCUCUCUCUCUCUCUCUCUCUCUCUCUCUCUCUCUCUCUCUCUCUCUCUCUACCCUCUUGUAUAAUGUACAGUUGAGGGGAAUGUUGUCUGGCUCGAUGUCAUUCAUGUGAAGCUCAACGUUAACUGAUGAAUGAUUUCGGACCAGGCUUCAUUCCCCCCAACAGGGCUUUGAAUUGAUUUGAUAUAUUUUCUAAUUCAUCAUAUCUUCAUCACUUGUGUUCUUCUGUGGCAAGUAGAUAUAAAGGGAGCAAGAAUAAAGGAGGAUAAUAUGGUGGUUAUUUUGAUCUGAGAAAAAUAACAAGAGGCACAACAUAUAAAGCAAAUAUGAAAGUUCAGCCACCGGAGAAGGGAAACCGGCCGCCGCAGAUAUAACAUGCGAUCAUCAUAAUUCUGAUGGGUCAGAUCUGAUCAUGGAUGUUGUCAUUUGUGUUGAGGAAUACUGAAGAUCCAUGGUUGCAUGAUUAGAUGUAUUAUGAGCUUCUGUAAAGGCAAAAAAUAAUUGGCCAUCCGCAUAAAGUCUAUAAAAAAAAUAUUAAGUGAUGAAUCAGAAGUUACAUUUUGAGCAGAUAUGAUGAGACGACAACGUCUGUGUCUGCUGUAAAUUACGUAUGCAAGUUGCUUGUGAUUCUGAGAGUGGAAAGCAAGGUUUGAAAAAUUUAGAAUCAAAGUGCUCUCCUUUAUGAGAUUUGACAGGACUACUUAAGGGAUUUAUGAAGACUGAAGAGACCAAAGAGAAAAAAAGAAAAAGUUGGCUGCCAAACCUAUAUGGGGUCUGCUCUACUUGUGUGUUCCCCAUGGAUUUAUUUUUUUUAUUUUUCAUGCACAUAUCAUUGCAAUGGAGAGCUUCCUUCUCAGCUUUCUAGCUAGGGUUAGGGUUAAAAAAAUUAUUCCAUGUAAUUAUUAUAUGUAUAAUGAUUAAAUAUUAAUGAAUUUAUAUAGAAUCUAUCAUUAUCUAUUGUUAUAAGAAAAUCAGUAU